UACAUAGCUGCAGUGUACGUGGCCGCGCUCUCUACUGCACUCGAAUUUCGGAAUCGAUUAUUUAUUUACUGCAACUUUUUCCGAUAGAAUCGAUUCGGCUAUUAGUAUCUACGUAGUAACUAGUACCGUCGCGGAAGCGCUGCGUUGCGCACGCAAUUUGUUAUCUUACAGCGGUCAUCUUAAGAUUUAUUAUUGUGUAAGGUUUUCGGGUCGGUUUCCGCGGUGAUACUCGAGUUUUCCGCACGUGUGCCGUUUGUGUAGCUGAACCACUGAGUACGUCUAGCUAGAGUCAUUGACACACGGCGUGACAUACAUUCGCCGAAUGUCGGCACGCUAUCACGCGCGUUCUGGCCGAUUUUUCACGAGUGUUCGGCGACCUUACCAAACGUUUUUGUUUUGCUCUGUGUACUAUUGGAACGAUACGAUUGCCGCCGGCCGUCCAACGUUAUGAGUUACUACAGGAAUUAUGAACAGAUUUUGAUGAUUCUUUUUUGUUUGGUAGGUCAUACUUCAGAGGCGGUUCCAUUUUAAUUUGGUGAAAAUCUGAUGAAUA